rnacentral:rRNA from 1 species
GACGUAGGGCGCGAGCGUUGUCCGGAAUUAUUGGGCGUAAAGAGCUCGUAGGCGGUUUGUCGCGUCUGCCGUAAAAGUCCAGGGCUCAACCCUGGAAAGCCGGUGGAUACUGUCGGGCUAGAGUCCGGAAGAGGCGAGUGGAAUUCCUGGUGUAGCGGUGGAAUGCGCAGAUAUCAGGAGGAACACCGAUGGCGAAGGCAGCUCGCUGGGACGGUACUGACGCUGAGGCGCGAAAGCGUGGGGAGCGAACAGG